UACGUAGGGGGCAGGCGUUGUCCGGAUUUAUUGGGCGUAAAGAGCGUGUAGGCGGUUUGGUAGGUCCGUUGUGAAAUCCCCGGGCUCAACCUGGGAAUGGCGAUGGAUACUGGCGAGCUAGAGUGUGUCAGAGGAUGGUGGAAUUCCCGGUGUAGCGGUGAAAUGCGUAGAGAUCGGGAGGAACAUCAGUGGCGAAGGCGGCCAUCUGGGACAACACUGACGCUGAAGCACGAAAGCGUGGGGAGCAAACAGG
rnacentral:rRNA from 1 species